rnacentral:lncRNA from 1 species
AGUUACUCACAAUAAAGUAUUAAUGAACCACACAUAAAUAUCAAUUAAAUAGGCCAAAGCUCAUACUGUUGAUAUGCUCGUAAAGAUGCCGUAGAAGUAAUUAUGGUAGAAAUAAAGUCAAUAUGUUAUUUAACUAACUACGAAAGCACUCAUAUAUGCGUAGAUGACUAAUGUGUGCAUAAACAACUCACGAAAGCAAAACUUUUAAAAUAACUCUCCA